ensembl:lncRNA novel transcript, antisense to KRT75 and KRT82
AGCUUGUGGCUGAUCAGCUGGGAGUCCAUCCUGUUCCUUUUGACUUCACCCUGCCAUGCUGCUCCACAGCAGGGAAGCCCAGGCGGCUGUCACAUUGGAUGGAAGAGGAGGCCUUGUAUUCUGGAAGGGAGCCAUAGACUUCCUUUUCGAAAGAGGCCUGAAGGCCACCUGGACGAGCCUCCCCCAGUACCAGAACCCCUCAAUGACAUUGCCAAGAUACAAUUGUUCAGCUUCUGCUUCAAUAUUUUCAGCAACGGGAACUCCCUACUUGGAUGCAUCUUUGCAAGCCAGGAGAAGAAGGGGCUGCAACAGCCCGAGCCCCUAGGAAUGCCCAGGAAGCUGAGGUGAGCUCAACUUGCUUUGAGGAUGAAGUUGGUGCAUCUGCCUCACCUGCACUCCUCGCCUUCCAGCAGCUUGCGGUAGGUGGCGAUCUCCACGUCCAGGGCCAGCUUGAUGUUCAUCAGCUCCUGGUACUCACGCAGGAGCCGAGCCAUGUCCUGCUUGGCCUUCUGCAGGGCCUCCUCAAGGUCCACCAGCUUGGCCCGUGCAUCCUUGAGAGCCAGUUCUCCCCGCUGCUCUGCAUCAGCAAUGGCCGUUUGCAAGCUGGAACACUGUAAGGACAGGAGGAA